rnacentral:rRNA from 1 species
GACGUAGGGCGCGAGCGUUGUCCGGAUUUAUUGGGCGUAAAGAGCUCGUAGGCGGCUUGGUAGGUCCGCUGUGAAAACUCGAGGCUCAACCUCGAGAUGUCGGCGGAAACCACUUGGCUAGAGUCCGGAAGAGGAGAGUGGAAUUCCCGGUGUAGCGGUGAAAUGCGCAGAUAUCGGGAAGAACACCUAUGGCGAAGGCAGCUCUCUGGGACGGUACUGACGCUGAGACGCGAAAGCGUGGGGAGCGAACAGG